rnacentral:lncRNA from 1 species
ACAAAGCAAGUGCAUUAUUAUUUAAGUGAUAAAUGGUGGGUUCAGCCAUGAAAAUGAAUGAAUUACACUUUCUAAAUGAAAGGGCUUUAUCAUAGAGUUACAUAAGUAUGAAGUAUGUAUUACAUGGUGAAGAAUGAGUGACCUUUUUUUAUGAUGUCCUUUAAAAAAAUUUUUGACUGUGAAUCCCAGCUACAAAAAGUGUAAUGAGUGACUAGUCUACAGCUUAAUACCAUACCUAGCAUGCCAAUUGGCUGAUAGAUCCUCUGGAAAAUGUGUACUUACUCAACAAUUUGCACACGAGGGAUAGUGUCUGGAUAAACCCUAGCUGAUUGUACAUUGGUUUAUUUGUUAUAUAAUACAGGCUUAGCGGAAACUGACAUCAUCAGUGAGGAAUGACAGCAGUGUAAGACACUUUGUUUUCUGUUACCUUGGGAUCAGUGUAAGACUUUUUUCUUGCUACCCUGCGAUACCAAAAAGAAAGCAGGUUUAUUUCCUUUAUCAUUGCCUGUCUUGUUGCACUUUGAAUGAUUUACUAUAUCAGUAUCCUAAAUGCAAAGUCUUCUGUAGCUAAGCCCAGUCUGAAUAAAACUUAUUUGGACAUUAGGCCAUAUGGUAUGCAAAACAAUGGUACUUAUAAAAUGAAAGCCAACAUUGUAACCAGUUUCCAACUGUCCACUUCAGGACAAUGAAACUGUUGGUUUCUGAAGGCGGUCUUCACUAUUUAUUGCCUGUUGACUUGGGACAGUCCAGUGAGAUGUCACAUGGCAACUGAAACAGGAUGCAAUAUACACUGAAGGCUGUCUUCAGAAUCAAACAGUUGUUUUUAUCCCCUUAGAAAUGUUAAUUUUUUGUAGUUCCUGUUUAGUAUUCAAAUUUGUAAGGGUAAUUAAAAACCCUGUUAUUAACUGCUAGAGGCAGAAAUUGUGCAACAUAUGCGUUUAUAAUUACAACUGUCCGCCCCUGAUAGCUGAGUGGUCAGCACGACGGAAUGUCAUACCAAAUGGCCCAGGUUCGACUCCUGGUUGGGGUGGAGAUUUUCUCAGCUCAGGGACUGGGUGUUGUGUUGUCCUUAUCAUUAUUUCAUCCCCAUCAACAUGCAAGUCGCCGACGUGGCGUCAACUCGAAAGAUUCACACCAGGCAAAUGGUCUGCCCGACAGGAGGCCCUAGCCACACGGCAUUUACAUUGCAACUGAUUGUAUACUGUGCAUUGUAGGGUAUAAGAGGCAAUGUGCAACUCUGUGGUAUCUAAGUAUUAUCAAUAUGAAUUCUUACAAAUGACAGUUGUUUAUGAAAUUCACAUUCUACAUUUUUCUAAAUGUUUAAAAUGAGCUUACAUUCUCGACGUGUGUUUACACAUUUUGUUUCAUUUGCCGUAGUCCUCAAUGAAAUUUCACCACAUGACAAUUUCAAUAGAAUGUUAUAUAAUUUAUAUUCAGUAUCAUAUUACUAGGACUAAUAUAUCAAUGAAACUCAUCAGUUUUUGAAACUGUAAUGUAAUUACAUAGAUUAAAAAAAAAUCUACUCGCCAGGCAGUGGCAGCAGAACACACUUACAAAGGUAUUAGAGUUUGCAAGCUUUCUGAGCCAGUGGCUCAUUCUUCUGGCAGAGCUGAUGAAGGGAAACAAAGGAGACUGAAGGAAAAGGACAGGUGAGGUGUAGGAAAAAUGGAUAGUGUUCAGAAAAGUGGCCCAGAACUCUAUUUUUCUACUGUAUUUGUGAUGAACAAAGCCCUUUGUUAGUAAUUUUUGGUUAUGUUUUAUCAGGAUUUUUCAUUCUUAUCCAUUUCUUGUUGACUUUCUUUCACAUUACUCUCUAUAUGUCCACUCAACAAAAGAGAGAUGAUUUCAUGAUCACCACCAACACUCCAAAAUAGGCAGAAGCAUACAGACCGAAACAAAGGUUCUUUCUCAGUUUUCUAUGCUAGACACUUUAUUUUCUCUUACUGCUUGCUUUUCUUGUUCAUCUACUACUACUUCUACUACUGUCACUGUUACUACUUCUGCCGAUACUUCUGACUUGCCAGCCUUAAGUUGGAACAGCCUAAGUAUGGCAGUUACAUUACACCGUUGUUUUUCUCCCCACAGAUCUUACAGAAGAAUGGUAAUGAAGAAUGCACUAUGUGGCUGUUGUCUACGGAAUUUGCAACAUGCAUUCCCAUUUGAUUUUGUCUGUUGUGUUUUUAUUAUCAAUUUUAUUUGUUUCACUGCAACUUCUUCUUAUACUAAGCAUUUUCUUCUUCUACUCUGUCCCCCCCCCCCCCCCUCCCCCUUCCUCCCUGCCAUCCCAUUCUCAUCAGUUUUUUUUAUCUUGGUGUCCAAGAGUGUAGUCUAGAUAACUGUGUAAACAUUGGCACUGCCUUAUAGUAUUUCAGUUGAGCCUUAUUCUUUACUAUUACUCCCUGGUAGUUCUUGCUAUCAUGUCGCAUUUCUUUUGUUAGACAUUAGGUUUGCUACUUAUGUGUUUGUUAUCACUUUAACUUAAAUCACAUAAAAUAGUGGAAAUGUGAUAUUUGCUCCAACGCUGUGUCAAGCAAUUAGUGCUAUUGGUGAAAGAUGAAUGCCCUGCAUCUCUAGAACCUUUGGCUAAGAGAGAGAACCUACAGAGAUUGAAGCAAGGAGGCAGACCUCAUCUUAUCCAAACAAGAGGUCGGUACCCUCUUGUGGGGACCUCUACACAAACAUCCUUGAAAUUUGGAUAUUGCUGUUAAAAGGGGGAGUUCUAUCAUUACAGAUGUGUUAGAUGAUUAGCAAAAAUAAAUUAUUGUUGUGUAAAUAUGAAUUCCAAAGUGAUAUGUCAAGGAACAAAAAAAUUAUUUAAUGUAAACUAAUUUCAUGCAUACCAAAUUUUACACUCAUAUUUACUUGCUCCAAGCAAAAUUAUUUUGUACACCUAGUGUGUGGAAAUGUGCAGUUGGCUAGAUUAUUGUAUAUUUUCUCUUGUUUAUGUACUCAAGUUAUGUUUCAUAUUGCAUUCAGAGAAACAGUUCAAUUUUUCAAGUAAUGCUUUAUGAUUACUGAAUGUUUUAUUCAACAACAACAACAGCAACAACAAUAACAACAACAACAAUAAUAAUAAUAAUAAUAAUAACAAUAAAAAUUCAUCUUCCUGAUGUAUUGCUAAUUAAGUGUAUAAAUAUAAAAAUAUGCUCGUAAAUACUUUGCUUCACCAAGCACACCUCCCACAAUAGCCAGUAAAAACCCCAAAAAUAAAUGACAGCUCCCCCCCCCCCCCCCCCUCCCCCUCCUCCAUCAUUCAGAAUCACAAGUUUGUUCCUCCUGGAGGAAAGAUGAGUUGGUUGGUGGUGGUGGUGAUGGUGGUGGUGAGCAGGAAGAUAAUCAUCAGAGAGAGGUGGGAUAUUUUCCUACAAUGCUGUCUACUUGAGUAUGGAUGUAUCGUUAAAGUAUAACUAAAACAUCAUUCUGAUUUUAUCACUCUUCCGUAAUGUUCAAAGUCAUGUUGAGAACUUGCUUUAUAAUGCGAUCUACACAUGAAAAUGCAUUUUUUGUUAUUAUUGUUAAUACCUGCUUUAAUCACACAUAUCUUUAACAGUUUACAUGGAAAACAAUCUAAGAAAAUGUCAUGCUUCAGUAAAUAUUGUUUGGCUGUCCUCCUUGAUUAGAUCAUCAGUCUACACAGAGGACAUUUGAAAUUGCAGUAUAUGUCCACAGAAUAUGAGCCAGAAAAAAAAUGUUCUGGCGUUAGUUUCUUUCGAGUGAUCAAGUUUGUCUAGUAUUAAUGCAUGAGUACACUGAUGACGUUUCACUACCAUUAAACAGCUGCUUGCUAAGGUUCCAUAAUAUCUCUUAACACUGUGCACUUUUAUUUCCGCAAUUAUACAGGACAGACACGAUGAUAAGGGAAUGUGGAGAUAUUUUGGUUGGUUGGUUGGUUGGUUUGGUUUAGAGAUGAAAGGGACCAAACUGCAGAGGUCAUCGGUCCCGGAGAUAUUUUGUAUUUCAUUUCAAGCAACUGAAAUUAUCUUUUAGAAUUCUUCAAAAUUUUUACAAUAAGACACAUUUUCCAUGAAGAAGAUGCCCAGAGAAGUAAGGCAAGACAAGUGGUUUCUUCAGUUGUACUACAGUGUUGUAGAGGUCCCAGGUGAUUUCCACACCUUGUACUUUGUAUCUAAUCCUCCAUUCUUUCCACACCAGGACUGUACACACCCUAGUGAUGUGUGUGUGGCUUUUUUUUUGGUCAGCAUCAGUUUUCAAAAGCUCAAGAAACAAAAACUUUUUAUAUGUGUGGAUGAUAAGCAGUCAGCAGAUGGGUCCAUAGAAAAAAUAAAUAUUGAGCCUCUUUCAGUUGCUUUGAGGGAACUAGAAUAGUUUCAUAAAUAAGAGCAGCAAGCAAUACUCUUUGUGACAUGCUUUUGACAGUACAAGAAGUGCAAUUAUGACUGUUGCCAUUAAAUUAAGCAUCACUGAAAGUUCCAAACUGAGCAGUUUUAUGUGACCUGCCACAUUUGUAUAUAUGUAAAUUAUUUAUAUAGUUAUAAUAAAAGUCUUUUGUCCCUCUG